rnacentral:rRNA from 1 species
AUUGAACGCUGGCGGCAUGCCUUACACAUGCAAGUCGAACGGCAGCACGGGAGCAAUCCUGGUGGCGAGUGGCGAACGGGUGAGUAAUAUAUCGGAACGUGCCCAGUAGUGGGGGAUAACUGCUCGAAAGAGCAGCUAAUACCGCAUACGUACUGAGGUAGAAAGUGGGGGACCUUCGGGCCUCACGCUAUUCGAGCGGCCGACGUCUGAUUAGCUAGUAGGUGAGGUAAAGGCUCACCAAGGCGACGACGGGUAGCCGGCCUGAGAGGGUGACCGGCCACACUGGGACUGAAACACGGCCCAGACUCCUACGGGGGGCAGCAGUGGGGAAUAUUGCACAAUGGGCGCAAGCCUGAUGCAGCAACGCCGCGUGAGGGAUGACGGCCUUCGGGUUGUAAACCUCUUUUAGCAGGGAAGAAGCGAAAGUGACGGUACCUGCAGAAAAAGCACCGGCUAACUACGUGCCAGCCGCCGCCGUAAAAC